CAUUGCGGCUCGGGAUCCUGAUCUCGGGCCACACCUGACUGAGGGUCGGUGAUAUCAUACAAUAUGUUUUGGGCGACGUCCGACAGAUUUUUGUCGAACGCGCACUUAAAUUCAAAUUUUUAAAGACUCGGAGGAGGCCGCCUUUCUCCUCUCUCGAAGAGAGAGAGAGAGAGAGGAGACUCGAACGGUCGUCGUGAGUACUUGUCUUUGUGUUUCGAUUGGUACGAGAGUGAAGCUCGCGGUGGGGGGGUGCAAGUCGGUGGAGUAGGCGUCCAACCUCAUCCUCUUCUCGAGAGAAGAGGAGGGUUGGCGUGAAAGACCGGCUACAUUGUUUCUUUGCACCUCGCGGAGUGCCCGACUCUGCACAGUCACUCGUCGGUGGAGUAAACGUCCAACCUCAUCCUCUCCUCGAGAGAGAGAAGAGGAGGGUUGGCGCGAAAGAUCGACUCUGUGAGAGACUGUGUGUUGCGGCGUACGCACGCCAAUCGAACAAGACUCUCGCGAAAGCGCUCGACACGUUCCCGUCGUUUCGGACCGACUUCCGUAGAAAAAUAUGUCAUAUUGAUCGCGACCUCAGAUCAGGUGAGACUACCCGCUAAAUUUAAGCAUAUUAAUAAGCGGAGGAAAAGAAACUAACAAGGAUUCCCUGAGUAGCGGCGAGCGAAAAGGGAAAAGCCCAGCACCGAAUCUCGCACCGUG
rnacentral:rRNA from 1 species